AAGUGAAAUUUGUAAAUAGAUUAUAAUAUAGUGGGAUUUCGGUUAGCAGUUCAUAACUUAAGACGCUUGGAUAUAAAACAGGAUUAGAUACCCUGUUAUACCUGGCUUAAACUUAAAUUACUUGAGCAGUAGUUGCUAUGAUCUUGAAAUUUAUAGGAUUUGGCGGUAUCUAACUCUGUUUAGAGGAACUUGUACUGUAAACGAUACUCCUCGUAUUAUCUUACCUAAUUUAGAGCUUUCAGUUUGUAUACCGCUAUUAUAAGUAAUUUUUUAGAAAUUUACUGGGAUAAGGUUUAAUUUAGUAUCUUAAGUCAAGGUGCAGCUAAUGAUAAGGUAGUUAUGAGUUACAAUAUUAUAUAAAUAAAUGAAUGAGGUUUUAAAAAGAGCUUUGAAAGUGGAUUUAAUAGUAGGCAUGUUUUAAUAAGUCAAGCUGAUAUAAGUUCUUAGAUAUGUACACAUUGCCCGUCGCUCUCAUUACAGUGAGAUA
rnacentral:rRNA from 1 species